CACCUUGAGAUAAAGUAUUGAUUGCUUUUUAGUUGUGAUUUUGGUUUACAUAAAUUGUUGUCUCUUCAGUCAGAAAACAUGUGUAGGCCAAGUGUUAACACAUCGUGAUGCCAGGGCUUCCAGUGGGUCAGCAGUCGUUCCUCUCUUUCUGACAAGUGUGCUUUAACAGUUGUCUCUGCCCUGGUUUUCCAGAAAAGAAGAAAAGGUGGGGAUGAAAAUUUAAACUACCGCAAAUACUGACACUUUUGUUUUAUGAAUUAUGAAUUGAGUUUGGUAAGAAUUUUCCUUUGCGUCUGUCAGAUUGUAAACUCUUUUUCAGAUAGAGCAUUGUUUGAUACCUUCUUUGUCUUUUAUUUCCAUGUUGAAAUAAAGCCUUGAGGAGCUUACAGCAGAAACUUCUAUACCUGGUAGAAUGAAUUAUUGACGGUCAUCCUCUUACACAUGGCACAACUGGACAAAGGGAAUGCUCUGCUCAGUGCAAAACAGCUGGGGAGAGAAAGAGAAGGAAACCUAUUUUUCAGAGUUCAUGUCUGGUAUUUUUUUCACUGUAAGAGUCAUCCAAAACAGACCCAACGACCUGGCCACCAGCCCACAAAACUGAUGGUUAAGGUGAAUGAUUCUGAGCAGGACACUGCUGAAGUUUAGUGGUUUUUAACCAGGUGACCUUAACUAAUUUUACAGUAAGCCUAAGUAAAAAAUGGUAGCAGAUAAAUACAGC
rnacentral:lncRNA from 1 species